rnacentral:tRNA from 1 species
GCCCCUGUAGCUCAGCUGGUAGAGCGUUACCUUGGUAAGGUAAAGGUCGAGGAUUCAAGUUCCUCCAGGGGCU